rnacentral:other from 1 species
UAUUGCCUGUCCCGUGCGCAGGCGGAGUGUGAAACUUUGAGCCAACACCAAUAAAAAGGGAGCCAAGUCUGACAUACAAGACAUGCCGGAAACGGAAGUCGCGGUGUUCAGCGAGGCACCCACCUGUUAAUACGGGUCUCAAAAGUUGCACCGCCUACGGCGGGACGGGUAAAAG